rnacentral:rRNA from 1 species
AGUUCGGUCCCUAUCCGUCGCAGGCGUAGGAAAUUUGAGAAGACCUGUCCUUAGUACGAGAGGACCGGGAUGGACGUACCUCUGGUGUACCAGUUGUCCUGCCAAGGGCAUGGCUGGGUAGCUAUGUACGGAAUGGAUAAGCGCUGAAAGCAUCUAAGCGCGAAGCCAACUUCAAGAUAAGAUUUCCCACCGCAAGGGUAAGACCCCAGAAAGACUAUCUGGUUGAUAGGUCGAAGGUGUAAGUGCAGCAAUGUAUUUAGCUUAUCGAUACUAAUAGGUCGAGGACUUGACCAAG